CAAGUUUCAAACUCUAAAAAAUCAAAGAUGAUGAUAAUAGACUUAGAGUUUUCUACUCUACUCAUUUGCCUUGUUCCAUUCCUUUUUAUCUUCUUCAUCAAUCUUUUCCAUUCCAAAUCAACCAAAAUCCCAAAAUCUUAUCCAAUCAUUGGUUCAUAUUUCUCAAUUUUAGCAAACAAACAUCGUCGGAUUCAAUGGAGUUCUGAUAUAAUUCAGACAACUACCAAUCUUACUUUCACUCUCAUUCGUCCUUUCGGUAAUCGCCAAAUCUUUACUGCAAAUCCAUCGAAUGUUCAAUACAUGCUCAAAACUCAUUUUCAUAUUUAUCAAAAAGGUCAUAUGUUUAAAUCAACCAUGGCUGAUUUUCUUGGUGAUGGUAUUUUUAAUGUGGAUGGUGAAAUCUGGAAGUACCAACGACAAGUUGCUAGUCAUGAAUUCAAUACUAAAUCUCUACGAAAAUUCGUCGAAACUGUCGUAGAUGCUGAACUUAACGAACGUCUGAUUCCACUUCUUGCUGUUGCUGCUUCUGAGAAAAAAGUUGUUGAUCUCCAAGACAUAUUACAGAGGUUUGCUUUCGAUAACAUUUGCAAAAUUGCGUUUGGAUAUGAUCCUGCUUAUCUAUCGCCAUCUCUACCACAAGAGAAAUUCGCAGUUGCUUUUGAAGAAGCUGUUAAAUUAAGCAGUGAAAGAUUCAAUGCUAUUUUCCCCUUUUUAUGGAAGAUUAAAAGACAUUUCGAUUUCGGAAGUGAAAAGAGAUUCAGAAUCGCUGUAGAUGAAGUUCGUCAAUUUGCGAAACAGCUCGCUAGAGAAAAACAGAGUGAACUAAAUCAAAAAUCAUCUCUCGAUUCAGUAGAUCUAUUAUCCAGAUUCUUAAGCGUUGGUCAUAGAGACGACGAUUUCGUUACAGAUGUAGUUAUUAGUUUCAUAUUAGCAGGUCGUGACACAACAUCAGCUGCAUUAACUUGGUUCUUCUGGUUAAUCUCGGAACACCCUGUGGUGGAAAGUUCAAUUCUAAACGAAAUCAAAUUAAAAUCCCACACGCCAGUAUACGAAGAAGUGAAAGAGAUGAUAUACACACAUGCUUCACUUUGCGAAAGCAUGAGGUUUUAUCCACCAGUACCAAUUGACUCGAAAACAGCUACAGAGGACAAUGUUUUACCAGAUGGAACUUUUGUUAAAAAGGGAACAAGAGUAAGUUAUCAUCCCUACGCAAUGGGGAGAGCAGAGGAACUAUGGGGAAGUGAUUGGAACAAGUUUAAACCAGAACGGUGGUUGGAUAAAGAUGAAGUUACUGGAAAUUGGAAUUUUGUUACUAAAGACAUGUAUACAUAUCCUGUUUUUCAGGCGGGGCCGAGGAUUUGUUUGGGGAAAGAAAUGGCGUUUUUGCAGAUGAAGAGGGUGGUUGCUGGUGUUUUACGGCGGUUCAAGGUGGUUCCGGUCACGGAAAAAGGGGUGGAACCGGUGUUUAUUUCAUACCUCACGGCGAAAAUGAAAGGUGGUUUCCAUGUGACAAUUGAGGAAAGGGACCAUGAGUAGUGUUGUUAUUUUUCUACUUGUCUUAAACUAUUUUGGAUGGAUAAAAAAUUACUUUUAAUUAUGAAUAUAAUAAGAAUAUCUGG
rnacentral:misc_RNA from 1 species